GAAGUGCUAGAAAACCUAACAGAUUGUUAAAAUCCUAACAAUAUUCAGAGUUUGUCAUAUAUUUGUGGAGAAGCUAAGUUUAUUUACCAAUGCCUAAUAAUGUUCCUAGAAAGUAAAAAUAAUUUCUAACCCAAAGUAGUACAUAUCAAAGCAGAUAUACUCUCAACUCUGAAAUUAAUGAAGAAACGUGAUCAUAGGGGAAACAACAACAUAUGAGGCCUUUGUACAUUGUAAACUUAAAACUGAAAGGAAAUAUUAGUAUAAGAUGUGCUCCACCUAAAUAUAGAGUGAAAUGAAAUCAUCUCUCCAUGUCUGUGCUCAGUCGCUCAGUUGUGUCUGACUCUUUGUGACCCCAUGGACUGUAGUCCGCCAGGCUCCUCUGUCCAUGGGAUUUCCCAGGCAAGAAUACUGGAGUGGAGUCCCAUUUCCUACUUCAGGAGAUCUUCUCCACUCAGGGAUCAAACCUGCAUCACUUGCGUCUCCUGCAUGGACAAGAGGAUUCUUUACCACUAGUGCCACAAAUUUGAACAAAUGUUAAAGCAAGAAUGACAAAUGGAAAUUAAAUAUCUGAUGCAGUUCAGGUUUUAAAAUAAACCUCAUAGCACAAAAAAGUAGCCCCUGUCAUUAAAUAAACUUGACAAAAAUGAAUCAACAGUAUAUCCAGAAAAGAAAGGAAAUUGAGUGAUAGGUGAGUAGUGCAGGGUAGGAUGGGAUGUUGUGACCUAACUGGAGUGCUUAUUUUUAUUUCAUGUUGUUUUUCACCUUGCCAGGAGAGGGCAGCCAGUCCCCACACUGAAAAUCAGCUAGCAAAUUAAAUUUCAAAUUUGCAUCUACCAUUUUCAGAGAUUUUUCUUUUAAGCUUACAUCAACUGUCCAUUUUACUGACCAUAAUGGGAAGCUUGAUGAUUUCAAAGAGCAUUAAACAAGCGGAUCUGAAUUUGGAAUGUCUGCCCUGCUGCUGCUGCUAAGUCACUUCAUCGGACACAACUGAAGCAACUUAGCAGCAGCACGUUACUUUGGCUUCUCAGAGUUAUUCUUCUCUUAUUAACAAAAAGAACCACAUAUCAACUCGUUGAUUAAAGCAAUAAUAUUCUCCCAGUGCAAAAAUCUCUCUCUCUCUGUCUUUGAGCAAUGAAGUGUAUAUGCAGUGACCAUUAGAUCUCUGCUACUUAAAGUGUGGUCCCUGGACCAGUGCUGGUCCUUGUGUAAUCCUUGAAGGUC
ensembl:lncRNA